rnacentral:rRNA from 1 species
UGGUGGAGUGAUUUGUCUGGUUAAUUCCGUUAACGAACGAGACCUCGACCUUUAAAUAGUACGGCGAAUCUCCGGAUUCGGUUCGAGACUUCUUAGAGGGACUAUUGUGUGUGUAGCCGAUGGAAGUUCGAGGCAAUAACA